GCCUUCGGGUUGUAAACCUCUUUCAGUAGGGAAGAAGCGAAAGUGACGGUACCUGCAGAAGAAGCACCGGCUAACUACGUGCCAGCAGCCGCGGUAAUACGUAGGGUGCGAGCGUUAUCCGGAAUUAUUGGGCGUAAAGAGCUCGUAGGCGGUUUGUCGCGUCUGUCGUGAAAGUCCGGGGCUUAACCCCGGAUCUGCGGUGGGUACGGGCAGACUAGAGUGCAGUAGGGGAGACUGGAAUUCCUGGUGUAGCGGUGGAAUGCGCAGAUAUCAGGAGGAACACCGAUGGCGAAGGCAGGUCUCUGGGCUGUAACUGACGCUGAGGAGCGAAAGCAUGGGGAGCGAACAGGAUUAGAUACCCUGGUAGUCCAUGCCGUAAACGUUGGGCACUAGGUGUGGGGAACAUUCCACGUUUUCCGCGCCGCAGCUAACGCAUUAAGUGCCCCGCCUGGGGAGUACGGCCGCAAGGCUAAAACUCAAAGGAAUUGACGGGGGCCCGCACAAGCGGCGGAGCAUGCGGAUUAAUUCGAUGCAACGCGAAGAACCUUACCAAGGCUUGACAUGUUCUCGAUCGCCGUAGAGAUACGGUUUCCCCUUUGGGGCGGGUUCACAGGUGGUGCAUGGUUGUCGUCAGCUCGUGUCGUGAGAUGUUGGGUUAAGUCCCGCAACGAGCGCAACCCUCGUUCCAUGUUGCCAGCACUUCGGGUGGGGACUCAUGGGAGACUGCCGGGGUCAACUCGGAGGAAGGUGGGGACGACGUCAAAUCAUCAUGCCCCUUAUGUCUUGGGCUUCACGCAUGCUAA
rnacentral:rRNA from 1 species